AUUGAACGCUGGCGGCAGGCCUAACACAUGCAAGUCGAACGAGUGGCGGACGGGUGAGUAAUGUCUGGGAAACUGCCUGAUGGAGGGGGAAAACACUGGGAACGGUUGGCAAUACCCGAUACCAUCGGGUGGGGCCCGAUGGGGUUGGCUAGUCGGUGGGGUAAAGGCUCACCUAGGCGACGAUCCCUAGCUGGUCUGAGAGGAUGACCAGCCACACUGGAACUGAGACACGGUCCAGACUCCUACGGGAGGCAGCAGUGGGGAAUAUUGCACAAUGGGCGAAAGCCUGAUGCAGCCAUGCCGCGUGUAUGAAGAAGGCCUUCGGGUUGUAAAGUACUUUCAGCGGGGAGGCGUUACCCGCAGAAGAAGCACCGGCUAACUCCGUGCCAGCAGCCGCGGUAAUUC
rnacentral:rRNA from 1 species